AUUGAACGCUGGCGGCAGGCCUAACACAAGCAAGUCGAGCGAGCGGCGGACGGGUGAGUAAUGUAUGGGGACUGCCCGAUAGAGGGGGAUAACUACUGGAAACGGUGGCUAAUACCGCAUACUAUCGGAUAACCCAUAUGGGAUUAGCUAGUAGGUGGGGUAACUGCUCACCUAGGCGACGUUCUCUAGCUGGUCUGAGAGGAUGAUGAGCGACACUGGGACUGAGAGACGGCCCCGAGUCCUACGGGGGCAGAAGUGGGGAAUAUUGCACAAUGUGCGCAAUCAGUAUGAAGCCGUGCCGCGUGUAUGAAGAAGGCCUUAGGGUUGUAGAGUACAUUCAGCGGGGGGACGUUACCCGCAGAAGAAACACCGGCUAACUCCGUACCAGCAGCCGCGGUAAUUC
rnacentral:rRNA from 1 species